AGCAAGGAAGAGAGAGAAAGAGAGGAAGAACAAAGGGAAAAACAAGAAAACCUAGGUGAAAAAUUCAAAGAAAAAGUGAAGAAAUCAAGGAAACAAGCUAGGUAAGUUAGAAUUUCUUUAGUUCUCCUUGAUACCUAGCUUACCCAUGCUUUUGUUCUUGAUUUUCAUGGUUGAAUAUUGAGUUAUUAUGAUGAAUUCAAUUCUGAAAAAUGGGUUAGGAGAGAGAAAAUUGUUAGAUUAAUUUGAUUUUAAGUUAUGUUAGUGUUUUAAGUUAGUUUAGCAUAUUUAGGAAUAAAACAACAAGAAAAGAAUUUAUUUUCCUCCAUUACUAUUAUUGGCUGAAUUUUCUAGGGGAAUAUUGGCUGAUAAUCUUGAUGUCUAUUUGAGGAAUUAUGAUGAAUAAUGAUGAAUUAUGAGCCUAGAAAAAUAAUGGGAAUUUUCGGAGCAAAAAUAUGAAUUUUUACCCACUAGGGGUAUUUUCGUAAUUUGCUAUCGGGACUGAUAAAUUGAAUCUCAUUCAUAGUCACUAAGGUAAUUUAAGUAUAAUUGGAGUGUAGAAAGUGAGAAUAAUUGAUUUGGAGUUAAAUUGGAGAUAAUAGGCCGAAUUAGGUCAACACCUCAUUUAAACGGUAGUCUGAUAAGUUGUAUAUCAUAUCAUGUAUAUAUACCGAGCCUGAAUUGAUUUUAUAAUGAUCAAGCAUUGAUGUGAUGAAUUAUGUAUUGCACAUUAUGGAUAGGUGGUGAGCAAAGUACACUGGUAAAAGUACAGAAAUUGUGCUUGGAGAUUGGGAUUAAGAGUAUAUCGACUCCUAGAACUGUGAGUGAACUUAUUAUCAUCUUAAUUAUCUAGAGUAGUUUUAUACAAUUGUGUGAUUUUAUGGAAAAUGGGUUUAAAUGGUAAAUUGCUAUGUU
rnacentral:lncRNA from 1 species